rnacentral:lncRNA from 1 species
UGGUAAUAGUCAUCUUGAUAACUUCUUCAAGGACGUCGAAAUUGCGUUGCAUACCAACGCAUGUAUUUCCUAAUUAUUAUAUCUUAGACGCAGGCCCAAGCACGACCUAGACUCUAGUUUUAGGCUUGGUUUACGACGAAUUAGAUAUUGUUUCGGUUAAUGCUUCCCUCUAUUGAAUAGAACUUGUUCUAGGUUUUUGCUUUAAGCUCUUAAAUGUUAAAAAAACUUCGCUUAUGAGCUGAGAGAUUUAGAUCUUUAAUCUUCGCUAUCUGCUAAUUGAACAUUAUUAAAAAUUACUUACAUGAUUUACAAAAAACAAAGUUAAACGAGUGUACUGGAAGUGUAGAAUGAAGAAGAAAGCUUCUAAUAUUACGCUCGUGUGCGAUGUGUGUAAUACGUAACAUUUCAAAGGAAU